rnacentral:rRNA from 1 species
UGAGGAAUAUUGGUCAAUGGACGGAAGUCUGAACCAGCCAAGUAGCGUGCAGGAUGACGGCCCUCCGGGUUGUAAACUGCUUUUAGUUGGGAAUAAAAAAGAGGACGUGUCCUCUAUUGUAUGUACCUUCAGAAAAAGGACCGGCUAAUUCCGUGCCAGCAGCCGCGGUAAUACGGAAGGUCCAGGCGUUAUCCGGAUUUAUUGGGUUUAAAGGGAGCGUAGGCGGAUUAUUAAGUCAGUGGUGAAAGACGGUGGCUCAACCAUCGUUAGCCAUUGAAACUGGUAGUCUUGAGUGCAGACAGGGAUGCUGGAACUCGUGGUGUAGCGGUGAAAUGCUUAGAUAUCACGAUGAACUCCGAUCGCGAAGGCAGGUGUCCGGGCUGCAACUGACGCUGAGGCUCGAAAGUGUGGGUAUCAAACAGGAUUAGAUACCCUGGUAGUCCACACAGUAAACGAUGUAUACUCGCGGUUUGCGAUAUAAUGUAAGCCGCCAAGCGAAAGCAUUAAGUAUACCACCUGGGGAGUACGCCGGCAACGGUG